rnacentral:rRNA from 1 species
GGCCUACCACAUAGCAAGUCGGACGGUAGCACAGAGGAGCUUGCUCCUUGGUGUGACGAGUGGCGAGACGGGUGAGUAAUGUCUGGGGAUCUGCCCGAUAGAGGGGGAUAACCACUGGAAACGGUGGCUAAUACCGCAUAACGUCGCAAGACCAAAGAGGGGGACCUUCGGGCCUCUCACUAUCGGAUGAACCCAGAUGGGAUUAGCUAGUAGGCGGGGUAAUGGCCCACCUAGGCGACGAUCCCUAGCUGGUCUGAGAGGAUGACCAGCCACACUGGAACUGAGACACGGUCCACACUCCUACGGGAGGCAGCAGUGGGGAAUAUUGCACAAUGGGCGCAAGCCUGAUGCACCCAUGCCGCGUGUAUGAAGAAGGCCUUCGGGUUGUAAAGUACUUUCAGCGGGGAAGAAGGCCACGGGGUUAAUAACCCUGUCGAUUGACGUUACCCGCAGAAGAAGCACCGGCUAACUCCGUGCCAGCAGCCGCGGUAAUACAGAGGGUGCAAGCGUUAAUCAGAAUUACUGGGCGUAAAGCGCACGCAGGCGGUCUGUUAAGUCAGAUGUGAAAUCCCCGGGCUUAACCUGGGAACUGCAUUUGAAACUGGCAGGCUUGACUCUUGUAGAGGGGGGUAGAAUUCCAGGUGUAGCGGUGAAAUGCGUAGAGAUCUGGAAGAAUACCGGUGGC